rnacentral:rRNA from 1 species
AACGAACGCUGGCGGCAUGCCUAACACAUGCAAGUCGAACGAGACCUUCGGGUCUAGUGGCGCACGGGUGCGUAACGCGUGGGAACCUGCCCUUAGGUUCGGAAUAACUCCCCGAAAGGGGGGCCAAAAACGGGAAAUGGCUUCGGACCAAAGAUUUAUCGCCUUUGGAUGGGCCCGCGUUGGAUUAGCUAGUUGGUAGGGUAAAAGCCUACCAAGGCGACGAUCCAUAGCUGGUCUGAGAGGAUGAUCAGCCACACUGGGACUGAGACACGGCCCAGACUCCUACGGGAGGCAGCAGUGGGGAAUAUUGGACAAUGGGCGAAAGCCUGAUCCAGCAAUGCCGCGUGAGUGAUGAAGGCCUUAGGGUUGUAAAGCUCUUUUACCCGGGAUGAUAAUGACAGUACCGGGAGAAUAAGCUCCGGCUAACUCCGUG